UGAGAUGCCAAAGUUGGUCCAGGGUGUC
rnacentral:piRNA from 1 species